UUCUGGUUAGUUUAGUGGCUAUGACGGCGCCUUGUCAUCACAGGUUGCGCUCGGCGCAGACCCGGGUUCAAUUCCCGGACCGGAAG